UGGGGAAUAUUGGGCAAUGGGCGAAAGCCUUACCCAGCAACGCCGCGUGAGGGAAGAAGGUUUUCGGAUUGUAAACCUCUGUCCUGGGGGACGAAGGAAGUGACGGUACCCCGGGAGGAAGCCCCGGCUAACUACGUGCCAGCAGCCGCGGUAAUACGUAGGGGGCGAGCGUUGUCCGGAAUUAUUGGGCGUAAAGGGCGCGUAGACGGCCGAGUAAGUUAUAGGUGAAAGCCCAUCUUUCAAGGAUGGAAUUGCCUGUAAUACUGCCUGGCUUGAGUGCAGGAGAGGGAAGCAGUCAUUCUAGUGUAGCGGUGAAAUGCGUAGAUAUUAGGAGGAACACCAGUGGCGAAGGCGGCUUUCUGGACUGUAACUGACGUUGAGGCGCGAAAGCGUGGGGAGCAAACAGGAUUAGAUACC
rnacentral:rRNA from 1 species